rnacentral:ncRNA from 1 species
AUCAAACUAAAGUAGUCUAUGUUUAUCAAGACAAAAUAGGUCACGUUGAAAAAGGAA